rnacentral:rRNA from 1 species
AUUGAACGCUGGCGGCAUGCCUUACACAUGCAAGUCGAACGGUAACAGGUUAAGCUGACGAGUGGCGAACGGGUGAGUAAUGUAUCGGAACGUGCCCAGUCGUGGGGGAUAACUGCUCGAAAGAGCAGCUAAUACCGCAUACGACCUGAGGGUGAAAGCGGGGGAUCGCAAGACCUCGCGCGAUUGGAGCGGCCGAUAUCAGAUUAGGUAGUUGGUGAGGUAAAGGCGCACCAAGCCGACGAUCUGUAGCUGGUCUGAGAGGACGACCAGCCACACUGGGACUGAGACCCGGCCCAGACUCCUACGGGAGGCAGCAGUGGGGAAUUUUGGACAAUGGGCGCAAGCCUGAUCCAGCCAUGCCGCGUGCGGGAAGAAGGCCUUCGGGUUGUAAACCGCUUUUGUCAGGGAAGAAAAGGUUCUGGCUAUACCUGGGACUCAUGACGGUACCUGAAGAAUAAGCACCGGCUAACUACGUGCCAACAGCAGCCGCCGUAA